UGCUAAUAAUUUGGAAGAACUUUCUUUUGAAUGUUAAAAACAGCCAACCGUAAGUUAGCCUAAAAUUGGCGACAACUUGGCGGCAGAGCAUUAAAAAUGCGUAAAACGGAUAAACACAGGAUAAUAGUAACACACUGUUUUUAAACGCAAACUACUGUUUUCAUUGUAUUAAAAAUAGUAUGUAGGAAUUUCGGACGCGGGUUCAACUCCCGCCAGCUCCACCA
rnacentral:tmRNA from 1 species